rnacentral:rRNA from 1 species
AGCGAACGCUGGCGGCAGGCCUAACACAUGCAAGUCGAACGAAGUCUUCGGACUUAGUGGCGGACGGGUGAGUAACACGUGGGAACGUACCUUUUGGUUCGGAACAACUCAGGGAAACUUGAGCUAAUACCGGAUGAGCCCUUAGGGGGAAAGAUUUAUCGCCGAAAGAGCGGCCCGCGUUAGAUUAGCUAGUUGGUGAGGUAAAGGCUCACCAAGGCUACGAUCUAUAGCUGGUCUGAGAGGAUGAUCAGCCACACUGGGACUGAGACACGGCCCAGAUUCUUACGGGAGGCAGCAGUGGGGAAUCUUGCGCAAUGGGCGAAAGCCUGACGCAGCCAUGCCGCGUGAAUGAUGAAGGUCUUAGGAUAGUAAAAUUCUUUUACCAGGGACGAUAAUGACGGUACCUGGAGAAAAAGCCCCGGCUAACUUCGUGCCAGCCGCCGCCGUAA